GUGUCCAGCAGAGCCAUGGUGACCCAGCAGUGUCCAGCAGUGCCCAGCAGUGUCCAGCACGGCCGUGGUGACCCAGCAAUGAUCCAUCAGUGGCCACUGCUGGUUCCUGCAGGUACCACGUGAGCCAAGGCAGAGCUGUGCUGACCUCUCCAGGGUUGGAUUUGGGGUCUCCAGCAUCCACCUCCGAUUUCUCACAGCAAACUCCCCAAACCCCAAUGUUUACAAUACUUGAAAAGCCUGGACAUUGGGAGAGCAGGUUUCUGCUGUUUUUCUGCUGGACGUGCGGAGUCCUUGGGCACACACAGGCUCCCUUUGGGUGUCUCCGCUGCCUCACCCAGGGCCAGGACUUGCAUUUCCAUUGGGAAAAGGAGAGAAAUCUCCACUCCAGGCAGGAUCAAACCUUAAGCAGCUCCCUGGGCCAGCCAGCUCUGCUGUCGUGUCUCUGUGUCGGCGUCUCGUUGUUCUCUUCAGUUCCUCGCUGCCCCCACGGCUCACGUUCCUGGGGCCAGUGGCAGGCAAACGUUUGUGAGUGUUAUUCCUUUCAAAGACACCAAAGCUUAUGUGUGUCCCUUUGUAGAGUGCCAGGAGGGGAAGGAAUGCUGUAAAUAUUUCUCUCUGUAGUAAAUAUUGAUACGUGUGCAGGCUGCAGUGGGGAGGGCAGGGAGAGGAGGCCGAAUGGAAACACAAGUGUUGGCUGCAGGAGCUUGGCAAUGGCAGCAAAAUAAUUCCUGGUGUCUGCCCAGGCAGUGCCACACCAGGCUGGGAUCUCCCUUUGCAGCCAGUGUGUGUUGAAGAAAAAUCCAUUUCCAUCUCCAUCCCCCUCCUCCACCAUUCCUCCUGGAGGAGCCCAGCAGGGCUCCUGUGGAUUUCUGUGUCCUGCAGUCCCGCACCAGGGGAGGGGAGAAGCUUGUAGAGAAAUACUCAGGAAACCUGGUUUAAUUACCAUUCAGUAAAAGCCAUGCCAAGUCCACUUUCUUUUAGUAAUCCACUUCUGUGAGUCUCUCUGAAAAGCAGAAAAUGCUGAUGAUAAUAAUCAACCUUGUGCAAUAAGUGCUUGACAUUUACAGCAGCCUGAGCACUGGAUUUACUGAGACAGGGGGAGAGUGGCAGAAACAGAGACUGAAAGGCAGAGCAGAGUUUGUACUGCCUGUUAUCCCAGAGUUCCCUUCCAGGGAUCCUGCUCCUGCACAGUGGAUCUCAUUUCUAAGAAAAAAAAUGUGCAAAAGUCCUACUAAAGUCAGGCACUGCGGAGCCCAGCGCCAGGAAUGUCACUGGAGCAGCCCCAGGAUGGCUGCUCUGCUGCAGGUACCACAGGGUCAGGCUGUGAAUCCUGCUGGGUUUUGCUGGUUCCCUUCCUGCUGCUCACAGUGAUCCAUCACACAGCUCAGUGAGGGAUUUCCAAUCUGUUCCACCUGUGGUUGUUGGUUUGGGUUCACCAAGUUCUCAUGGUACUCUGAAACCCAGAGAGCACUCCAAAAAAUUCCUGAACGACUUCCAAACACUUCCAAAUAUCAGUGAGGGGAGUUACCUCUGCAGGACUCACAAAAUACGAGUAGAGCCCAAAGCAAAGGGCUGGCUGUGCAUCACCUGGGCCUGGUGAUGCUGUCCCUGCCCCACAGCUCCUCCUGCAUCUCCUGGAGAGGCUUUGUGUGCAUCCCUUUUAAUCCUGCUUUCCUCCUGCUGCUCUCUCCCCUCUGGCCAGGAGCACUCCAAGCCAAGGUUUGGUCAUUCCCUGCUCCCCUGUAUUUUCUCAGCAGAACUGGAGGUCCCCAAGCACCCCCUGGAUUCUCUGGGAGAACAUUUAGGAGACAAGGGGACAAUGAGCUGUGAGAUGAUUUGAGCAGAGAGAAAAAAGGGGAAGCAGCAGGAGCAGACCUGCAAGCUCUUACACUUCAGACUGAAUUCCGAAGCAAACAGCAAGAACACCUCUUCCAUCAUCUGGAAAAGCUUUAGGAGGAUGGCAGAGGGAGCAGCACAGUCCUGCCUGCAGGGGUGGCCUGGAAAUGCAUUGCCAAGUAUCUUCUCAUGGUGGCUGACAUUAAUUAUGGAUCUUUACAGGCAAUUACAUGGAUUGAAGCAACAUAUCCCCCGGGGCGAAGCGCUGGGAAUCUCCUGCCCUGUUUGCAUCCGACAUUUCCAUUCCUCCUUUGGGGAGAGGAAGCUUCAGAUCUCACCAUGACGUUUUCUUUGCACUCGCAGCAAACUGGACUGGAGGUUUGGUCAGGAGGGGGCACUUGCCUUAGAUGAUUUCACGUCCCUCUCGUUGCCCCCUCCCUCCUGCACGCUGGUGGUGGAGCCUCCAGUUGGCUCCGUUCAGGUAUCCCGACAUCAAAGGGGAGACGUCACUUCCCGGGAUCUCUCUGCCUGGUGUCACCGCUUGAAUAAUUCCUUUUCAUCUUCUGCUCCUGAGCUAUCAAAGCACCCACUCCGAGGGGGAGCGAGGUGCUAAUCAAACGCUUCUCCACCUUGAAAGCCUUUCUUAAAACCCACGUAGGAGAGUGGAGCUGGCAGGCAAGGCUGGUCCCCGUGAGCCCUGCUGCUCCACCAAGGCUCCCAGGGUGUGGACAGCCAUGGCCCAGCUUUGCCAUCAAGGAUGGGUUUAAAGAGGGGCAGGAGGGAUCAGCAUGGCCAAGGAGCUGUGAAAUCCAGCGUGGAUAUCUGUGCAAAGCCUGGAUAUCCUGUCUGCAGCUCGGUGAGGGCACCAGCACUGAAAAACAGAACUGCUGCCAUGGCCUGGCUGCAUCCCAGCAGCAUUCCAGGUGUGGAAUUGCAGGUUUUUCCCUCAAGGGUGGCGUGGGGACAGCGGUGCCUCCCUGCAGGGCUCGGGGCUGGGACACGCUGGGGACGGUGCCAACAGAGACCUUCAUCACAGCAGUGCCUUCCACACUCUGUCUUAAAAUCCUGGUGGCCCAUCCCCACGUCAGUGCUCCCUCCCAGCUCCCACUGGACUCCACAAAACACGUCCCAAUGUAGGGAACAGCCUGGGUGGGCAAAGGGAGAGGGUUUGAGGCUCUGGGGUUGCAUUCUGCACACUGCUGCCUCCGAGCUCCUUGUUUGGUGUUUAAGUCUGUGUGGAAAAAGGGUCAGAGCAUCCUCUCCUCACUGGGCACAGCCUCCAAACAAGGUUUUGUUCCCAGGAGUGCCCAGGAGCCGGCAGGGAUGGGGAAGGCCAGGUUGGCACAGGGCAGAGCAGCUCCCAGCACAGUCCCUGUGCUGCUCCAGAGCCCCGAGCUCCUUCCCUGGCACAGCCCAGCCACGUUCUGCUGUCACUGCCUGUUCUCCAUCCAGCUUGCUGCACUGUCAGAGCUCACCUGUCACAGGGACUCAGCUCCCCAAACUAAAGGAAACUAAACCAGACUGACUCGAGCAAGCUGGGCCAUCUGGGAGAGCUCACGCGUGGCUGUGCCCUGGAGAGAAGAAAAAAAUGUUCUGGGGAGGGUAAAUAACUGACAUCAAAGAUGCAUUAAAAUGCCACAGAGCUUCAGCCAUCCUAUUCCAGAACAUUUGUACCAGGAACUGCAAGGCAAUAGUGCAGGGAGCUGUGACAUUGCUCAGAGCUGUGACAUUGCUCAGAGCUGUGUGUGAGGAAGAGCUCGGAGCACAGUCCUGUCCUUGGUGAGAACACCCAGCCUGGACCCAAAAUCUGAAACCAGUGGGCAGAGGCUGAGGGCAAAGCACUGGGGACAGCUCUGAGGCCACCUGCAUGGGCAGCAUGGUUUGGUUUUCUUGAUGAGAAGUUCAGUGGGGAAAUAAUCAGAGUAAGAGAUGCUGAGCAGCCCCAAAUGUGCAAUUCCAGAGCAGUUUGGACGGUUUAGUUUUGCAGGGGAAGAGGAUGGGAACCUUUGGACCAGUUCUGGCUGUCUGGAAGGCUUUGUGCAAAGCCCCUGCACCCUGCAAAGCCCCAGAUUCGGGUGCUGUUCUGGGCAGGUCAUGUACCAGUGGCUGUGGGUGCUGCCUGGUGCCUUCCUGGCUCCUGGAAGAGAGCUGGGGGUCUGUGGUGUGUGCCCUGCACCCCAGGGUGCUCUCCUGGGUGCUGGGGUCAGAGAUGGGGAGGUGGAAGGGUGGGGCAGUGUGGGAUGGCAGAGCCUGACUGCUCCUUGCUGGAAAAGCCACUGCAGUCCCUGCCGGGUGUCGGUGCCCAGGUUGGUGAGGUGACACCUGGGGAUGGUGUGGCAGUACUGAGGUGGCACCUGGAGGUGCUGUGGCCAUGCUGAGGUGACACCUGGGGAUGGUGUGACCGUGCUGAGGUGGCACCCAGGGUGCUGUGACCGUGCUGAGGUGGCACCCAGGGUGCUGUGACCGUGCUGAGGUGGCACCUGGAGGUGCUGUGGCCGUGCUGAGGUGGCACCCAGGAGUGCUGUGACUGUGCUGAGGUGGCACCUGGAGGUGCUGGGGCAGUGCUGAGGUGGCACCCAGGGUGAUGUGGCAAUGCUAAGGUGUCACCCAGGGUGCUGUGACCAUGCUGAGGUGGCACCCAGGGUGCUGUGACCGUGCUGAGGUGGCACCCAGGGUGCUGUGACCCUGCUGAGGUGGCACCUGGGAUGGUGUGACCACACUGAGGUGUCACCCAGGGUGCUGUGGCAGUGCUGAGGUGGCACCCAGGGUGCUGUGGUUGUCCUGAGGUGGCACCCAGGGUGCUGUGACCAUGCUGAGGUGGCACCCAGGGUGCUGUGGCCAUGCUGUGAGCAUGGCAGUGGCUCUGUGCUUGUUCUUUCAGAUCCCUCUCUGUCUGUGAUUCCCAUCCUCUCCUCCCCUCGUGUCCACGGAACACAGCCCUGAAAGGAUUGACCUUUGUGCAGCACUGAGGAACCACAGGGCCCAUCCAACUGCACGGACAAUAUCCCAAAUAUCCCAAACUCCCCAGGCCUCCCGAGGCUGCCAAAUCCAACAGAUCUCCUGUAUGGCCUUUCCUUUGGGAUUUUUAAUACCUCUCUUUCGAAUAAGCUUGGAAGUUUAUGCAACAGCUUCUCCAGCCGGCGUUUCCAUGCCGAGGACACAGAGGGGAGGGAGAGGAGCUGAGCUGAUUUUGUGUUAAUUCAUGGCUUCAGAAGAUGCAGUGGAAAUGUCCUUCCCUUACUGCUGAGUUUUGGUGUUGAUGGCACCUCAGGGGCCCUCAGGAGAAGCAGCAAGGGGAAGGGAAUGUACAGGUACUAAAGCUUCUGGAGUCCCCCCAAAAAAAGUCACAGAAUGUAGAGGUACCAGCCAUGGAACAGAUUUCUACUUCCCCUUCUCCCUCCAGACCCACCCCUACCCGUUUUAGGGGAUUUGUGUAUUGGCAGGAACGAGGAAUUGAUUUGUAUCUGUGCCCAUUCCACCGUGUCGUUCUCUGGCUCCUCCCCUCCCCGUUAUACUUGACACACUGGAGUUCUGUAUUAUAUUUUUUUUUAAGAUGAUUGUCUGUUUUUUGUUGUUUUUACAAGUGUUGUGGAAAAAAAAAAACAAAAACAAAAACAAAUGUAAGAAAGUUUAAGUAUUUAAAAAUGUUCCAAGGAAAUAAAAGGGGGUUUUGUUAUUAUUCUAAUAUAUUAUUGUGUACCUAUUGUAAAUAUGAAACACUCCUAUUUUGCAAGCCAAGGACUCACUUUGUACUGUUGUUAUAUAUAAAUAAAGUUUACUGGUUAAAAAAAA